rnacentral:rRNA from 1 species
UUGGAAUCGGCUCAGGAUGAACGCUGGCGGCGUGCCUAAUACAUGCAAGUCGAGCGAACUGAUUAGAAGCUUGCUUCUAUGACGUUAGCGGCGGACGGGUGAGUAACACGUGGGCAACCUGCCUGUAAGACUGGGAUAACUUCGGGAAACCGAAGCUAAUACCGGAUAGGAUCUUCUCCUUCAUGGGAGAUGAUUGAAAGAUGGUUUCGGCUAUCACUUACAGAUGGGCCCGCGGUGCAUUAGCUAGUUGGUGAGGUAACGGCUCACCAAGGCAACGAUGCAUAGCCGACCUGAGAGGGUGAUCGGCCACACUGGGACUGAGACACGGCCCAGACUCCUACGGGAGGCAGCAGUAGGGAAUCUUCCGCAAUGGACGAAAGUCUGACGGAGCAACGCCGCGUGAGUGAUGAAGGCUUUCGGGUCGUAAAACUCUGUUGUUAGGGAAGAACAAGUACAAGAGUAACUGCUUGUACCUUGACGGUACCUAACCAGAAAGCCACGGCUAACUACGUGCCAGCAGCCGCGGUAAUAC